UUCCUUCAUAGCACUGGCGAAAUUUCUUAUUUCAAGAAAUUAGGAACAUUUUGGUUUCCUCGCUACAGCCGUCCUCUCCAUCGUCGCCGCCCAUGGCAUGGUCGAACGGCCGCCGCCGCGGAUCUGUCGACUGCAGCCCGAGCCAUCGGCGCCGCCGCCACGCCGCAUUAAUUACGGCGUCCCCUAUGCAAAACAAAAGCAUCUUCUGGUGGAUCUUCCAGCCAUCAAGCUUGCAGAUAGUGCAGAGGUUACAGAAGAGACCAUAUUAAUAUCAUUGAGGCGAGCCCUUGCUCAACACUCUGCUCUGCAAGCGGACGAUGGACACUGGGCUGUCGACUUCAGUGCAAUUAUGUUCAUUAUGCCUAUCUUGAUAUUUGCUCUCCAUGUACUGGAUCACUUAAUACAGUCCUAUCAACAGAACAUCGACGCGAGAUUUGUCGCUAUAUUUACAACCAUCAG